GUUAUAGGGUCAAGCGAACAAGUGCAUGUGUGGAUGCCUGGCGAUCACAGGCGAUGAAGGACGCGGUAGCCUGCGAAAAGCUACGGGGAGCUGGCAAACGAGCUUUGAUCCGUAGAUGUCCGAAUGGGAAACCCGGCCCUUUUGGGUCAUCCUGGACUGAAUACAUAGGUCAGUGAAGCGAACGCGGUGAACUGAAACAUCUAAGUAACCGCAGGAAAAGAAAUCAACCGAGAUUCCCAAAGUAGUGGCGAGCGAAAUGGGAUGAGCCUGCACUCUUUAUUUGUAUUGUUAGCCGAACGCUCUGGAAAGUGCGGCCAUAGCAGGUGAUAGCCCUGUAGGCGAA
rnacentral:rRNA from 1 species